rnacentral:rRNA from 1 species
UACGUAGGUGGCAAGCGUUGUCCGGAUUUACUGGGCGUAAAGAGCGCGCAGGCGGUCGUUCAAGUCGCGUGUGAAAGCCCCCGGCUCAACUGGGGAGGGUCACGCGAUACUGAUCGACUCGAAGGCAGGAGAGGGUAGUGGAAUUCCCGGUGUAGCGGUGAAAUGCGUAGAGAUCGGGAGGAAUACCAGUGGCGAAGGCGGCCUUCUGGACUGACACUGACGCUGAGGCGCGAAAGCCAGGGGAGCAAACGGG